GGUCAAGUUAAUAAGGGCUAAUGGUGGAUACCUAA
rnacentral:rRNA from 1 species